rnacentral:rRNA from 1 species
AUGCCGGAUGCUCCGACUCCUCGCAUGGGGUGUCGGGAAAGAUUUCAUCGGUAUGGGAUGGGGUCGCGUCCUAUCAGGUAGUCGGCGGGGUAACGGCCCACCGAGCCUACGACGGGUAGCCGGCCUGAGAGGGCGACCGGCCACAUUGGGACUGAGAUACGGCCCAGACUCCUACGGGAGGCAGCAGUGGGGAAUAUUGCACAAUGGGCGCAAGCCUGAUGCAGCGACGCCGCGUGCGGGAUGACGGCCUUCGGGUUGUAAACCGCUUUUGAUCGGGAGCAAGCCUUCGGGUGAGUGUACCUUUCGAAUAAGCACCGGCUAACUACGUGCCAGCAGCCGCGGUAAUACGUAGGGUGCAAGCGUUAUCCGGAAUUAUUGGGCGUAAAGGGCUCGUAGGCGGUUCGUCGCGUCCGGUGUGAAAGUCCAUCGCUUAACGGUGGAUCUGCGCCGGGUACGGGCGGGCUGGAGUGCGGUAGGGGAGACUGGAAUUCCCGGUGUAACGGUGGAAUGUGUAGAUAUC